AUCACUGCAGUGAGAAGGUGGCUGGAAGGAGCAUGUCUGGACCAUUUUUGCUACACGUGCCUGCCUGUGAAAGAGGACUGGCAGCCCCAUCUUGUCUUCGACCCUCUUCACCCUCAUCUGGUUGGUUCUUGUUUAGAACCAAUUGCCCACUGAGAAGGUGAGAGCAGGGCUCAGGAGAAGCACAUUUCUCACACAAAUUCAUUCAUUGAGAGGGCGCUUCUAGUGCAACCCUGAUGCUCUGCCCUGUCAAAGGAGUAUGAGGAGUGAACUCAGGUUAAAUGAGUGAUGUGCACCAAGAGGAGCAGACCCCUCCGUGGCUGGAAUCAGUGUUGGCACUCAGGUGUGGAGGGCUGACCAGACCUCAUUCAGCCCUACCUCUCCUCUCUGCUUCCCUCCAUCAUUAAUGAGGCCUGAGCAUGCCUGCUCUUGACUUACUGGUUGCACUGGUGUGGACUGGAAUUGGACAGUCAUGAAGUAGAAGUGUAUUUACCCUUCACCAACUUUCAUGCCUUGAACAUGCAGAGCUUGAUUUCAGUUCUCUCUCGAGUCACAGUUAAUAACAUCCUAAGCCCAAUUGUUUAAAAAUACUGCACAUGGUAACUAGAUAUAAAGCUUCCUGUUGUAAAACUACUGCAAACAGGCUUUGACCUUGGACAGUUCUGGUGUGCCCUUGGCUGGAAACGUGGUCUUAAAGGAGGAAUGUUUAACAUGGGAGCCAACUGCAAGGGCUACAAUGCUUUCUACCUCCAUAUUAUUCUAUUAUGUUGUAGUUUGGAGAAGUUAAAAGAAACCAUGUGACUAUCAAAUUAUUGAUGCCUUUCAGAAAGUCUAGGAUUGCUGAAUGUGUUUGGUGCUCCUUAACUGUUUAGAUAGACAAUAUAGAUUUGUGGUCAAUAUUUCUUUUAUCCUAGUAUAAGUAACGAUGCUAAGCAAAUGAUGUGUGUUAUUUUCUGUCAAAAUUGUUUUUUCUCUUUUAGUAUUUUUUUCCGAUGUAAUUUGUAAUCAUUUGUCUGGAAAUACGACAUUGCACUGGUAUCUUCUGUGACCUCUUUUCAGCUGUCUGUUCAAGAACAAUUGGUUUUGAGCUAUAUUCAUUAUUUUUCAGCAUGUUUGUAAACUCUCACUGUACUCCUUCAAGUCUGAACAUCCCCUAAACCUUCCUUUGUACCUCAAAAGUUAACUGGAAUGUCUCUCAUUCAGUGAUAGAAGCAAUAUAAAUUAAGAUUACACAGAGAUUGAAUGUUA